rnacentral:rRNA from 1 species
CCUACGGGAGGCAGCAGUAGGGAAUCUUCCGCAAUGGACGAAAGUCUGACGGAGCAACGCCGCGUGAACGAUGAAGGCCUUCGGGUCGUAAAGUUCUGUUGUUAGGGAAGAACAAGUGCUAGUUAAAUAAGCUGGCACCUUGACGGUACCUAACCAGAAAGCCACGGCUAACUACGUGCCAGCAGCCGCGGUAAUACGUAGGUGGCAAGCGUUGUCCGGAAUUAUUGGGCGUAAAGCGCGCGCAGGCGGUUUCUUAAGUCUGAUGUGAAAGCCCCCGGCUCAACCGGGGAGGGUCAUUGGAAACUGGGAAACUUGAGUGCAGAAGAGGAAAGUGGAAUUCCAAGUGUAGCGGUGAAAUGCGUAGAGAUUUGGAGGAACACCAGUGGCGAAGGCGACUUUCUGGUCUGUAACUGACGCUGAGGCGCGAAAGCGUGGGGAGCAAACAGGAUUAGAUACCCUGGUAGUCCACGCUGUAAACGAUGAGUGCUAAGUGUUAGAGGGUUUCCGCCCUUUAGUGCUGAAGUUAACGCAUUAAGCACUCCGCCUGGGGAUACGGUCGCAAGACUGAAACUCAAAGGAAUUGACGG